rnacentral:rRNA from 1 species
AGGCGGAGUGCUUAAUGCGUUAUCUGCGGCACUAAGCCCCGGAAAGGGCCUAACACCUAGCACUCAUCGUUUACGGCGUGGACUACCAGGGUAUCUAAUCCUGUUUGCUCCCCACGCUUUCGAGCCUCAGCGUCAGUUACAGACCAGAGAGCCGCUUUCGCCUCCGGUGUUCCUCCAUAUAUCUACGCAUUUCACCGCUACACAUGGAAUUCCACUCUCCCCUUCUGCACUCAAGUCCUCCAGUUUCCAAAGCGUACAAUGGUUAAGCCACUGCCUUUAACUUCAGACUUAAAGAACCGCCUGCGCUCGCUUUACGCCCAAUAAAU